rnacentral:tRNA from 1 species
ACGCCCGUAGCUCAGUUGGUUAGAGCGCCUGCUUUACACGCAGGAUGUCGGGGGUUCGAGUCCCUCCGGGCGUACCA